rnacentral:rRNA from 1 species
UGGGGAAUAUUGCACAAUGGGCGAAAGCCUGAUGCAGCAACGCCGCGUGAGUGAUGAAGGCCUUCGGGUUGUAAAGCUCUGUCUUUUGGGACGAUAAUGACGGUACCAAAGGAGGAAGCCACGGCUAACUACGUGCCAGCAGCCGCGGUAAUACGUAGGUGGCAAGCGUUGUCCGGAUUUACUGGGCGUAAAGGAUGCGUAGGCGGAUUUUUAAGUGAGAUGUGAAAACCCUAAGCUUAACUUGGGGACUGCAUUUCAUACUGGAAAUCUAGAGUGCGGGAGAGGAGAAUGGAAUUCCUAGUGUAGCGGUGAAAUGCGUAGAGAUUAGGAAGAACACCAGUGGCGAAGGCGAUUCUCUGGACCGUAACUGACGCUGAGGCAUGAAAAGCGUGGGUAGCAAACAGGAUUAGAUACCCUGGUAGUCCACGCCGUAAACGAUGAGUACUAGGUGUAGGAGGUAUCGACCCCUUCUGUGCCGCAGUUAACACAAUAAGUACUCCGCCUGGGAAGUACGAUCGCAAGAUUAAAAACUU